ACGAAGGGUGCUAGCGUUGUUCGGAAUUAUUGGGCGUAAAGGGUGUGUAGGUCGCUUCGAAAGUUAGUUGUGAAAUCCCAGGGCUCAACCCUGGAAUUGCGGCUAAAACUACGGGGCUAGAGUAUGAUAAGCGAUGGCAGAAUUUCUAGUGUAGGGGUAAAAUCCGCAGAUAUUAGAAGGAAUACCGGUGGUGUAGACGGCUAUCUUGGUCAUUACUGACACUGAAACACGAAAGUGUGGGGAGCAAACAG
rnacentral:rRNA from 1 species